rnacentral:lncRNA from 1 species
UCUAGAAAGAGGCGGCUAAAGUGUUUUGUCUGGACAGUGUACAAUGGAAAAAUCCAAAUCACGAUCAUCUUCUGCUACGCCUCGUUGAUAAAAACACAAUGACCAUCAAUUUCAAAGCUCGCCACCAAUGCAUCAGGAAUCAUCGAAGACAACUUCACGUCGGGAAAUCACUCCAUAGAACCAACUGCUGUCGUCUAUGGAUCGCUGUGGAGAUUCGACCAGCAGGGACUUCCAGCUGACUUGAUCGCCAGGUAAGAUUUCUAGCUUGAAACUAUCCAAACAAAAAGCAAACAAUGAUUUUUCCCAGCCAAAACCGAAAGCCAAGCACGGCCUAGACCUCCUCACUGAAGGCUGUCCCUACGCAGUGGAUAGACUGAACCUCUGGAGUGCAUUGAAGCAAUGGGUGACAGAUUACACAGACAUUUUCUACAAGGACGAUGCUUCAGUCAGGGAUGACACUGAACUCUAGGCAUGGUGGCAAGAAAUAAGACAGUUGGAUGGACAGACAUGAACACAAAAGCAAACUUGACCGAGGCACUCACCACCGUGAUUUGGAUCCCCAUCGUGCCACCACAACUUUGGCCAGUACGCAUACACUGGAUUCCCAGUGAACAGGCAGACCAUCGCUCACAAGCUCAUUCCUGACGAAGACAGGACACCGAAGAAUAUAAGCAGCUGCGAAGAAACGGGGAGAAAUUCUACCUCUCACCCUCCAAAGCCGAGGCGACGUUGGUGAUGACAACCAUCGAGAUCCUCUCCACGCAUUCCUCCGACGAGGAGUACCUGGGCACGCGGCCGGAACACUGGACGAGCGACAAACGGGUGCUGGACGCAUUCGAGCGAUUCAAAGCCGAGACGGAGGCGGAAGUGAUGGCAAGGAACGCGAAGAACCGCCGCGGCCUUUUCAAUCUCCCCUACACGCUCCUUGCCGUGAGCUCGCCCCCGGGCACUGGCCGAAACAGCAUCUCCAUCUAGAUGAACCCUAAAA